UACAGAGGUCCCAAGCGUUGUUCGGAUUUAUUGGGCGUAAAGAGCUCGUAGGCGGCUUGUCACGUCGACCGUGAAAACUCGCAGCUCAACUGCGAGCCUGCGAUCGAUACGGGCAGGCUAGAGUUCGGUAGGGGAGACUGGAAUUCCUGGUGUAGCGGUGAAAUGCGCAGAUAUCAGGAGGAACACCGAUGGCGAAGGCAGGUCUCUGGGCCGAUACUGACGCUGAGGAGCGAAAGCGUGGGGAGCGAACAGG
rnacentral:rRNA from 1 species